ACCCCAUGGAUCUUUUGGCAUAUCUGGUUAGCAAGGAACAAUGUGUGUUUCAACAACAAGUACAUCACACCGGAGGAAACAGCAACUCGGGCCUUAGCUGCGGCCAGAGAAUGGAAUCUUAGCCAAACUCAAGAAUGCUUUGUGAAGAAAAAACAGAGCACUCCGGUGGUUGUAGCGCCUAGUGGUGCCCUGAUUCGUACUGACGCU
rnacentral:lncRNA from 1 species